UAGGGAAUCUUCCGCAAUGGGCGAAAGCCUGACGGAGCAACGCCGCGUGAUUGAUGAAGGUCUUCGGAUCGUAAAACUCUGUUAUUAGGGAAGAACAAAUGUGUAAGUAACUAUGCACGUCUUGACGGUACCUAAUCAGAAAGCCACGGCUAACUACGUGCCAGCAGCCGCGGUAAUACGUAGGUGGCAAGCGUUAUCCGGAAUUAUUGGGCGUAAAGCGCGCGUAGGCGGUUUUUUAAGUCUGAUGUGAAAGCCCACGGCUCAACCGUGGAGGGUCAUUGGAAACUGGAAAACUUGAGUGCAGAAGAGGAAAGUGGAAUUCCAUGUGUAGCGGUGAAAUGCGCAGAGAUAUGGAGGAACACCAGUGGCGAAGGCGACUUUCUGGUCUGUAACUGACGCUGAUGUGCGAAAGCGUGGGGAUCAAACAGG
rnacentral:rRNA from 1 species